AGGGCUUGACAUAAACAGGAAUAGAUUAGAGAUAGUCUAGCUCUUCGGAGUCUGUUUACAGGUGGUGCAUGGUUGUCGUCAGCUCGUGUCGUGAGAUGUUGGGUUAAGUCCCGCAACGAGCGCAACCCCUAUCGUUAGUUGCCAGCACGUAAAGGUGGGAACUCUAGCGAGACUGCCGGUGAUAAAUCGGAGGAAGGUGGGGAUGACGUCAAAUCAUCAUGCCCUUUAUGUCCUGGGCUACACACGUACUACAAUGGCCGCAACAGAGGGAAGCAAUAUAGCAAUAUGGAGCAAAACCCUAAAAACGGUCUCAGUUCGGAUUGAAGGCUGAAAUUCGCCUUCAUGAAGCUGGAAUUGCUAGUAAUGGCAGGUCAGCAUACUGCCGUGAAUACGUUCCCGGGCC
rnacentral:rRNA from 1 species